GAGGCAGAAAGGUGCUGAUGGUGUUAAAAAGACAAAGACUAGAAAACAGCCUACUGACUGAGGAUUUGAGCACAAAGAGGACACUUCCAUCUGCUCAGAGAGCUGGGGAUUGGCUGAACAAGUAAACGGACCAGAAGGGCACCUUCAGGGAAUGUUCGUAAAAUACAUGCUGCAAAUGCUCAUACAGUGUGAGGAAGCAGCUUUAAAAUGAGGUGUGCAAUCGGCGCUUUCAUGAUCCUUCUGGUUCUGUGUCAAGGAGAAGCUCUGAGAUGCAACUAUUGUUUCUCAUCAAGCAGUACACUCUGCACCCCCACCAGCAUUCAGACCUGCACAGGAAACAAUAAUGCCUGUGGUGCUGUCAUCCUUACCGGCGCCCUCAGCAGAUCCUUUCGUCAGUGCAUGAACAUGGCUGUGUGUCAGGGCUUCAUCAGCACACCUGGAGCAUUUGCAUCAUGCUGCAGCACUGACCUCUGCAACUAACCCUCCUCUGAGCAACCUGAGGCCAUUUUAUCUCCUACGGUUCUAUAACAGCUUUGCGUUACUACUGCGUUCAAAUCACAAAAAUUUGGAUAUGAUUUAAAGAGCUGAAUAUGAGCUUAUAAAAUGGCGGCGUUUAAAUCAAUGAGAGUCUAUGGUGUUAGUCUACACUAAAUAGCAAUGUGACGUAAUUUGAAACAAUUUAUAUAAGAUGGAAAUGGGUCCUUUAUACUUUUAAAGACACAAAUAAAUGUGGAUGCAUUUGAGCUUCA